GACGAACGCUGGCGGCGUGCCUAAUACAUGCAAGUCGAGCGGACAGAUGGGAGCUUGCUCCCUGAUGUUAGCGGCGGACGGGUGAGUAACACGUGGGUAACCUGCCUGUAAGACUGGGAUAACUCCGGGAAACCGGGGCUAAUACCGGAUGGUUGUUUGAACCGCAUGGUUCAAACAUAAAAGGUGGCUUCGGCUACCACUUACAGAUGGACCCGCGGCGCAUUAGCUAGUUGGUGAGGUAACGGCUCACCAAGGCAACGAUGCGUAGCCGACCUGAGAGGGUGAUCGGCCACACUGGGACUGAGACACGGCCCAGACUCCUACGGGAGGCAGCAGUAGGGAAUCUUCCGCAAUGGACGAAAGUCUGACGGAGCAACGCCGCGUGAGUGAUGAAGGUUUUCGGAUCGUAAAGCUCUGUUGUUAGGGAAGAACAAGUACCGUUCGAAUAGGGCGGUACCUUGACGGUACCUAACCAGAAAGCCACGGCUAACUACGUGCCAGCAGCCGCGGUAAUACGUAGGUGGCAAGCGUUGUCCGGAAUUAUUGGGCGUAAAGGGCUCGCAGGCGGUUUCUUAAGUCUGAUGUGAAAGCCCCCGGCUCAACCGGGGAGGGUCAUUGGAAACUGGGGAACUUGAGUGCAGAAGAGGAGAGUGGAAUUCCACGUGUAGCGGUGAAAUGCGUAGAGAUGUGGAGGAACACCAGUGGCGAAGGCGACUCUCUGGUCUGUAACUGACGCUGAGGAGCGAAAGCGUGGGGAGCGAACAGGAUUAGAUACCCUGGUAGUCCACGCCGUAAACGAUGAGUGCUAAGUGUUAGGGGGUUUCCGCCCCUUAGUGCCGCAGCUAACGCAUUAAGCACUCCGCCUGGGGAGUACGGUCGCAAGACUGAAACUCAAAGGAAUUGACGGGGGCCCGCACAAGCGGUGGAGCAUUGGUUUAAUUCGAAGCAACGCGAAGAACCUUACCAGGUCUUGACAUCCUCUGACAAUCCUAGAGAUAGGACGUCCCCUUCGGGGGCAGAGUGACAGGUGGUGCAUGGUUGUCGUCAGCUCGUGUCGUGAGAUGUUGGGUUAAGUCCCGCAACGAGCGCAACCCUUGAUCUUAGUUGCCAGCAUUCAGUUGGGCACUCUAAGGUGACUGCCGGUGACAAACCGGAGGAAGGUGGGGAUGACGUCAAAUCAUCAUGCCCCUUAUGACCUGGGCUACACACGUGCUACAAUGGACAGAACAAAGGGCAGCGAAACCGCGAGGUUAAGCCAAUCCCACAAAUCUGUUCUCAGUUCGGAUCGCAGUCUGCAACUCGACUGCGUGAAGCUGGAAUCGCUAGUAAUCGCGGAUCAGCAUGCCGCGGUGAAUACGUUCCCGGGCCUUGUACACACCGCCCGUCACACCACGAGAGUUUGUAACACCCGAAGUCGGUGAGGUAACCUUUUAGGAGCCAGCCGCCGAAGGUGGGACAGAUGAUUGGGGUG
rnacentral:rRNA from 1 species